GCGCACUGCGGUUGUGUGGUUUCUCCUGAUUCCCCAGGUUGAUAGCCAGGCACAAGUUCCUGUCCUUCACGGAGUGAACUGGGGCAGAUUGACGUUAACCACUGAUAAAUGAGCUGCUGUGGCUGUAGAGCUCUGGAAUGCAAAGGACCCCCUUUGCAAGAACACAAACUCCUGUUUUCUUUAUUUACUGAUAUUUUACUAUUUUGUUUUUGUGGUUAUUUGCCUUGGUUGAUUAUUUUCUUGUGAUUUUAUUCAUAAGUAU